AAUCCACCUCCAUCAGCGGUGUCCGCCACGUUCCUGCUAGUCAGACGCCCUGCAAAGUCUGUCACCCACCAAAACAUCCUCUCUUCAACUUGAUUCCCACCACAGGAUGAGGUGGAGCCCCAGAAGCUUCCAGAAAUGUGAUCUCACAAUUAAAGCAUGGUCCAUGGAGCACAAAAAAAUCAAGGCAUAUAAACUUAAGCACUCAGAACUGCGGCUCAGAAGCCCGAAGUUGUUCCAAAACACACACACACACCGAGAAAAAGAAAAUCUCUAGGACUUAGCAUCUUCUCAAUCUCCACCAGCUCAAACACCAGCAACGAACUUCAUCUGAACAGCUGGCAGGGUGAUAGGUAAUUACUCUUCCCAGAGCGCUUUGGUUGAAACAUCCAAGUGCAGUCUGUUCCAAGCCCAGUUCCUCUCUUCCUGGCCAUCCAGGAAGUCUGCACCCAAUUCCUGCUUCCUCAUCCUUGAACACUCUGCUUCCAGCACCUACGGACUGAGCCGCAGAAGGAAUGGCUGUCAUCUGGUUUCACAGUUUCUGAUUUUUUUUAAGGGCUUUGCACACAUAGACAUUCAAUAAAUACUGAGUGAGUGACUGAACGAAUCCAUGAUAGGUUGGAUGGGUUGACAGAGCACAUAAAAAAAUAUUUAAAACCACGAAUUGGGAUGCUUUAUAACUGAAGAUAUGCGUAUACUACGUACGGAAGGUCUUUCCAUCUGGGAAGGCAAAAAAGACCAACACAGAUUGUGAAUAAAAGACAGCGUAUGAACCAUAACCGCCAUCACUCACCCCCCCCCACACACACACAUGCACACUCACACAAUGUAUCUAAAUAAAUGCUAUCAAGUCAGAACUUUGAGAGGUCUUGUUAGUCCUUGUCAGUCCUCAAAAUGUGUUAUGUUGGGAUCCCAACUUUGGAAAUGGCCUCAAGAGUCAGCUGACUUUGUGGUCACACUUCAUUUUUGACCCAAAGAAGAAAACGUAGCUGAAUUGUCCCCCUUAUCCCCAGAUUGGGUUCCUAGUUAUUUUGGAUGCUUCCAGAAAUCAAAUGAACUUUCAAGGGAUACAAAUUUGCCUUUCAUUAGCGUAUUCAAAGGCUCUGAAGAGAAUAUGGAAAAUGGAAUUCUACACACAAUUAAGGAAUGGCAGAAUCAUUGGAUUAAGUGUGGCGAACCGACACAGAACAGAUUAGGAGAUGCACUCAAAUUUGCCGUCACUAAGUUGCUCAUCACAGCUGUUCUCAUCCUGAGCACGGUGGCGGAGAGUGGUAGAGAGUGACCAGAGGCCCACCAAACCUGGUUCCUCUUCUUCCUGAACCCACAGCUGCUCUGUAUUUCCCAGCCAGUCUUUCAUUUAGACAGUCUAUAUGUCUAGUUCUGGCCAAUGGAACACAGGAGGAAGUGAUAUGAGCCCGUUUAGCCCUGGGCCCUAAAACUUCUAGGGCCCCGUCCACAUGUCCCUUUUUUCCACCUGCCAGCUGGAUGUUGAGAAUUCAAGGGGAAGACUCUGCCUGCCUAGAUAAUGUUCAGCUACUAAACAGAAGGAGCCUCAGUCCCUGAAUGACAGUGAGGAGGAGGACUCCCACCCCCUUCUGAUUUGCAUCAGACUCUGGAACAUGAGCCAGAAAUAAAUGUCUACAGUGCCAAGUCAAUGAGAUCUGGGGGCUGCUUGUUGCAGCAGCAAAUCUAGCCUGACUAGUACACACACAGUUACACAGAAUAACCCACCUGACAAGCAGCUCAGUUAGAAACUGACACUGCCGGGGUGGGAGGAUGGGGUAGCCUGGUGAUGGGUAUUGAGGAGGGCACGUUCUGUAUGGAGCACUGGGUGUUAUGCACAAACAAUGAAUCAUGGAGCACUACAUCAAAAACUAAUGGUGUAAUGUGUGGUGAUUAACAUAAGAAUAAAAAAAAAAGAAACUGACACUGCCAUUUGGAGCAUCUGCCCUUGUGACUGUCAA